GAAGUUACCUGGCAGGGAAGAUGCCAUGAUCACGAAGGUGGUUUUCCCAGGGUAAGGCUCCUCAUUGCAUUCUGAGCAUGCUGAUCCGUACAAAUUCCCCUAAUGCAGGAAACGCGGCUGCAUAAUUUGUGGUAGUGAGGGACUGCUAAUCCAUAAAACAACCCUGU